UACAGGGGGGGCAAGCGUUGUUCGGAAUUACUGGGCGUAAAGGGUUCGUAGGUGGCCAACUAAGUCAGACGUGAAAUCCCUCAGCUUAACUGGGGAACUGCGUCUGAUACUGGAUGGCUCGAGUGCAGGAGAGGAAUGCGGAAUUCCAGGUGUAGCGGUGAAAUGCGUAGAUAUCUGGAGGAACACCGGUGGCGAAGGCGGCAUUCUGGACUGUAACUGACACUGAGGAACGAAAGCCAGGGGAGCAAACGGG
rnacentral:rRNA from 1 species